rnacentral:rRNA from 1 species
GGGGUGCAACACGAGGACUUCCCAAGAGGUCACCCAUCCUAGUACUACUCUCGCCCAAGCACGCUUAACUUCGGAGUUCUGAUGGGAUCCGGUGCAUUAGUGCUGGUAUGAUCGCACCC